GAGGAGGCGGCGCAUACGGGGCACUGGAGCGGCUGGUGGGGUUUUGUCCAGGUCGCGCGGGGCGGCGAGCUCAGAGUCCGAUGCUCGGCGCGGACACGCGUAGGUGUGCGCACGGUGGCCAAGUCCCAGCCUGGGGGUGCCGGGGUGGCCGAGGAAGAGCGACUCCUUCCGGCGCGUGUGCGGGCUCUCGAGCAGCGCGCAGAAGCCGUAAACGGUGCGCGCGCGGGGCAGGUGCGGCAGCGAGAGCGCAGCCUGGGAGCGCGGGUCCCAGUCGGUGCGACCCGCGCAGUCUUCGUCACUGUCUUCGCGGUCGUCAGGGAUGCGCGGCCACAGGUCCGGUUCGGCCGCGCAGCGCCAAGGCAGUGCGGCAGCGGGAAGCGGUGAUUCGAGAGCGCCGGGGACCUGCAGCCGCGGGGGGAUGCAGAACUCUGGGAUGCGGCCCGGGGUGAGCACGUUGGAGAAGGCAGGCUCAGGAGUGGAGGAACGAAGUCGACCGAGAAGCUUCAUCCUUCUAGCUUAUGCCCGAGCGUGGCGGAUACACGAGCGUCUGCAACACAGAGAAAAACUGUUGAAUUUGGGCUCCUGAAGUCCAGUGGAUCCCUUCUUUGACCCUCUGAAAGUACCCACAAAUCUAGGGCUCCGGGUCAGCACGAAUCAACCUUUGGAGCAUCCUCAUGGUAACAAACUAUAUACAUGAAUAUAUAGAAAUCAGACCUUUUCUUCUUCAGUCUCGCUGGGUCCGACUAGUCGCAGGAACGAAGCAGGUGACGUGUAGUUCACAGCUAGGGCUCCACCUUUAGCACUGCAGCUGUGACAGUGGCGCUCCAAACUUAUACCUUAGUGGAAGUCACGCCCAGGCGCCAAGAGGCCAAUCCGAAGAGGUAACAGACCGAGCCCGCCUUUCAGCCGUCCCUUCCCACUAAAUCUCCAGCUGCUAGCUGUAUAGGUGUCGCUGGAGCUGGCUCUGGGACUUACAUUGGCUGUCCCUUCGCUGGAGCGCCAUUUACAGGAGGCAGCAGAUGAGUAAAGGGCAUCCUGUCACCAUGCGAAAGAGAAUUUGGUAGUUCAAAGUGUUUGUGGCCUCUCAGAGAAGGAUACAUACCUGUUUCCAAGCACAGACUAAACUUGGCAUGUCCGUUUAGGAUGAGGUUAUGUGCAGAACGUUUUACGAAAUUGAAAACGCAUUAGUCCACCUACGUUUAACACAUCCAGACUGCUUGGAUUCAACACCGGACUAAAAGGUUGGAGUAAAGUGGUUGCAUUCACUUUAAUUCAAAAAUCGUAGAUACUGAGUCCCGGGUCAGCAGCUUAUUUAGCCUCUGUCUCCCUCUGCUGGACUGUCCUUGAUAUCACCAUGGUCUGGGCUACCUGAUGCCCUAAGUACUGGUGACUUGGGUAAAUAAAUAAAGUGCAAAAUCCU
ensembl:lincRNA M5C1000I18Rik RIKEN cDNA M5C1000I18 gene